ACCUAGUCUCACCACGCCCCCAAGGGUACUCAGCAGUGAUAAAUAUUGUCUAUGAGCGCUAGCUCGACUCAGUUAUGGAGAAGAGAGCCGGCCAACAAUGGUGCCAGCCGCCGCGGCUAAACCAAUGGGCUCAAAUUGAUUAUAUUCGGCGUUAAGCGUGAUUAAAGCCGACCCAAUAAUUAGAGUAAAACCUUAGUCUCAAGCCGUGAAAAGCGUACAACAGGGAGCCCCAAAAACGAAAGUUACUCUAAUCUCUGCUUGAACACACGACAGCUAGGAAACAAACUGGGAUUAGAUACCCCACUAUGCCUAGUCGUAAAAUAUUGACUCACACCUAUAAACGCCAGGGAAUUACGAGCCAAGCUUAAAACCCAAAGGACUUGACGGUGUCCCAACCAACUAGAGGAGCCUGUCCUAUAAUCGAUGAUCCGCGUUUUACCUGACCCCCCCUUGCCUCUCAGCCUGUAUACCUCCGUCGUAAAUCCGCCAUAUGAAUGUUUUCAGCGGAUCCAAUGACCCACCCGUCAACACGUCAGGUCAAGGUGCAGCCCAUGGAGGGAGGAAGCGAUGGGCUACAAUUUCUAACCUAGAACAAACGAAAUACUGUAUGAAACACACUAUGAAGGAGGAUUUAGUAGUAAAAAGAAAACAGCAUGUUCUUUUUAACAUGGCUCUGGGAUGUGUACACA
rnacentral:rRNA from 1 species